rnacentral:rRNA from 1 species
GAUGAACGCUGGCGGCGUGCCUAAUACAUGCAGGUCGAGCGAACGGACGAGAAGCUUGCUUCUCUGAUGUUAGCGGCGGACGGGUGAGUAACACGUGGAUAACCUACCUAUAAGACUGGGAUAACUUCGGGAAACCGGAGCUAAUACCGGAUGAUAUUUUGAACCGCAUGGUUCAAAAGUGAAAGACGGUCUUGCUGUCACUUAUAGAUGGAUCCGCGCUGCAUUAGCUAGUUGGUAAGGUAACGGCUUACCAAGGCAACGAUGCAUAGCCGACCUGAGAGGGUGAUCGGCCACACUGGAACUGAGACACGGUCCAGACUCCUACGGGAGGCAGCAGUAGGGAAUCUUCCGCAAUGGGCGAAAGCCUGACGGAGCAACGCCGCGUGAGUGAUGAAGGUCUUCGGACCGUAAAACUCUGUUAUUAGGGAAGAACAUAUGUGUAAGUAACUGUGCACAUCUUGACGGUACCUAAUCAGAAAGCCACGGCUAACUACGUG